GAGGACCGUAUUCAUGGAAGAGGAUCGAACAGAGAUGAAGUAGACAGUAUGUUGGAUAAAUCUGAAGAUGACAUUUAUAAGACGCUUCACAUAAAGAGAAAAUGGAUGGAAACUUAUGUCAAAGAAUCUUUCAAAGGCAGGAACCAGAAAUUAGAAAGAUUUUGCAAAAUGAACGAACGAGAGAGGAAGAACAUCAACAACAAAUUUUGUGAGCAGUAUAUAACUACAUUUCAGAAGUCUUAUAUGGAUGUACAGAAAUUCAAUGAGGAAAAAGAAAAAUCAGUGAAUAGUUGUCAAAAAGAACAACAAGCAUUGAAACUGUCCAAAUGUAGUCAGAACCAGACCCUGGAAGCAGGUAAAGAAAUGCAUGAGAAGUCCAUGGAGCUGCAUCAUUGGACUCAAACUGAAUGGUCCAUGUGUUGCCACUGAUGUGAGCCAUU
rnacentral:lncRNA from 1 species